rnacentral:rRNA from 1 species
AUUGAACGCUGGCGGCAUGCCUAACACAUGCAAGUCGAACGGCAGCACGGGUGGUUGCACCUGGUGGCGAGUGGCGAGCGGGGGAGUAUUACAUCGGAAUAAGUCCUGUAGUGGGGGAUAGCCCGGCGAAAGCAGGAUUAAUACCGCAGGCGAUCUUCGGACAACAGCGGGGGCCCAACGGACAUAGGGUUCUGGGGUUGCUCGAAGGUUGAUUAGCUAGUUGGUGGGGUAAAGGCCUACCAAGGCGACGACAAGUAGCCGGUCUGAGAGGGCGACCAGCCACACUGGGACUGAGACACGGCCCAGACUCCUACGGGAGGCAGCAGUGGGGAAUUUUGGGCAAUGGGCGAAAGCCUGAUCCAGCAAUGCCGCGUGAGUGAAGAAGGUCUUCGGGUUGUAAAGCACUGUUGUCCGGAAAGAAAUUCUUGGUCCUAAUACGGUCGGGGGAUGACGGUACCGGAAGAGUAAGCACCGGCUAACUACGUG